UGCUGUGAGUCGUUGCAUAUGUCUGACCUGCAAAGAGGUAAUAGCUCCUAGGAGGAUGUCAAAAAGAAAGAAAGAAAAAAAAAAAAAAUCUGGAGAAAAAUUUAAAGAGGCAGACGGAAGUCAAAAAACACGAAAAUCUCAAGGGGUGCACAUCAAAGUGCAGUUUGAAGGAUCAAAUGAAAACUGGAAUCACUUUGUUAUCUGACAACUGCAGAUCUUCAAAGCUCCCCUCAAAGCCCCUCAGCCAAAAGAUACCAGCGGCGAAGAGGAGAAUGGAAGAGGCGUCUUGUUUGGGCCACGCCAACGACGUGUGAAAUUGCCGAGCCUGCCAUUGGCUUCACUUCCUGCCUGGUGUAAGCCGGCUCGCACAAACAGGAAACCGUUUGCUGCUGCUGCUGCUGCCGUGUUGAAAAACAAUAUGAGUAAUCGAAGGUACAAGGCACUAACAAAAGCUCUUCUGCAGAGCCUACCCUGGUUGAUGCACAACCCGUGGAAAGAAAACAGGUUAUUACAUCGCCAUGGCAAACAACCGAUGUCUGUCCGCCAUGUCAAAAAUGGCAGGAUGUGCAUUAUGAAGAGGCAGUCCAGAUGGCGAUGAAGGAGCGUUUAUCAUUGCCAGAAGACCUGCUGGCAUGAUGUCUGAAGACUGCGUCAUCAAGAAGCCGCAAAAAUGUUUUAUGGAUCUCCAGCAGAAUCCCCCAGAAGUCUUCCUUUCGCCUCCCAAAGCAUCUGCCUCCCUGUGCACAGGGGCAAGAUUCCCUCGCAUUUUCUACCAGGCACGUUCACCUCUUUGGUUUUAAACUUCUUAAUUGUUGACCGGAAUGCAGAAACGGUACCUUUAGAUUUUAAUUAAUUUCUUUGUGACCAUCACCUGAUUUAUAAAGGUCAACAACCCUUCGUGUUGUCUCUUCUGAGAAUUCUUUGCCUUUCGCCAUGAAUAAAUUACAUUUACUUCUGAAGAGACAGACGCUCUGCAAUGGGCAGUCUGCCACGUCUUUCAUGCUAAUUUACAAUAAACACAGAUUUGAGUGAAAGAACUGCAGGAAACGUUCAACACCACACAUUACAAUGUGGGAUAUCGCAUUGAUAAGCUUGACGUGUACACAUUUGCUUCUCUGAAAACUAAUGGUAUAGACACAAUUAAAGGCACUUGGUCUGAAACACCAUUACCAGAUUGCCCUCAGCAGCGAAAGCUUCCUUAGUUCUUGGCAGGUUUACUGUGUGCUCUGUAGUAUGAAAUGGGAAAUGACAGCCCAUUGUUAUGUGUUGCUUUCAAACAAUCAAUCUGCAUCAGGAUUAUGAUGAUGAAAACUACAAUACCCUUUAAAUUAAUGUACAUCUAUAAAGCCGAAACUCGAGUACUGGAUAGCUAAACCUGCAUGCUUUCAUUCUUCUAUAAUUGCAUUAUUGUGUUAUUUUGCAUUGCAGUGGUUUUGUAAUGUAUGUGCUCUUAUGAAGCCACAUUUGCGGUGAUGUGAAAUGCAUGCAAGCGUUCAGUUCAGUUGCCUCGCGGCUACAGUGUGAACAUAUAUGCUGGAACAUCACAACCUCCAUUCCGGCUCAAGCCAUUUCAUUUUUUCUUUUUGUUUCCUUCCUACUUUCAGUAGCACUCAACAUUAUGGAGGUGACUGGGUUAAUGCCGCUAUGACAGGCUGGGGCCCAGGUCAGUAGCGUGGGGAUGCAAAAGUUCACAUCUGGUUGCUUCUGUUCAGCCAUACACAAGUUACAGAGGUGAGGAUUAGGGGGGGGAAAAGAUCUUUUAGACUUGAACACCGUUCAGUUUCAUUAAUUUGACUAAGGAAUUGCACUCUAGAGCAUAGCAGCACUGUUUCAGUCCACUAACACUGAGAUCCAACUUCCCCUUGGUCACCCAUACAGUGUUUUAAUCUAAUUUCCAUACUGCUGCCAAAUCACUUUCAGUUGCUUCAUUGAGACCGGGUGGACAGGAACUUCCUUAGAAUUAUAGGACCAGACUUCCUGUUUCUUUUUUAAUCUUUCGUCAACAUCUUGCAUGCCUUUCAAAAACCCAGCAGCCGUCUCAAGGGCAGUGUUUAAGGACGUGAAAAUGCGCAGAACGAGAAACACUGAAAACAAAAGAGAGCUCAUUCCUUGCGUGCCGACAGAAACGCAAUUUCACAGGAAGUGAAGAAAAUCCCCUCCUCUCGUUUAAUUUAAAAUAGUAUGACUCACACUCAAUUCGCUGUCAAAUAAUCACAUUACAAAAAAAACUAGCAAAAUAAAAAUAAAACAAUAUGUUGAGACAAAAUGUUUAAUUUUGAUUAAUUUGAAGCGUUUGUCUUCCAUGUAAAUUUCUCGGCAUUAAGGAUCCUCGCUCCAGAAUCCAAUUAUUCAGCUCAUCCGUCAUCAAAAACGCGGCACAUUCUCCUACUGCUAUUAAUUCUUCCCUUCAGAAGCUCAGAUAAUAGCAUAUCUGCUCUGCAUUAUGCAUAGUUUUUUUUUACAUUCAUAAUUCAAACGACAGUCUAGAGUCAAAGUCGUUCAAUCACACAGACUCAGCCUUCAUAAUGUGCACAUUUCAGACCUGAUCAUUUAAUUGUGAACUGUGACUGAUGGGAUUCUUUGGAAGACGACCGGCUCAAAAAGUGAUAUUUGGGCACUAUUUGGAUUCGGCCCUGUUCUUCUAUUUUUACUAUCAAAAUCAAUACAAGCACAAUUUUCCAUUAUUUCAUGUCACAAAUCAUUGAGCUUGCCAAACACUGUAAAGAAAAAAGUAAGACUUUGAAACUGCAAGUCAGAAAUUAUUUCGUGUACUGUAGUUGCCAUGCUGCAAUAUCCUCAGCAUAUGAGCUAUGUAUUUACACCUACACAUAAAAAUGAUCCUACUAUUCACACACUCAUUUGAACUGGCUUAAUUAAAAUAUAUACGUUAUAUACCCACCCCUACAACUUCAGCAUCUCAGCAAACCUAAAUAUGUUUUAAUUGCGCGUUUAUGCUGGGGACACAUAAAACAAGAGCAUGAACCAUAAAUGAGUGAAAAACAACACACACGCAUGCACAGUCUGCCACGUCAUUAUAUACACAUGAAUGUUCCUGCUUUACGCCUACGACUGGACCAUUUCCAAAUCAUUCUGCAAACAGUACAGUGAACAAUGUCAACAUUCAGUUGCCUCUCUGCAGGCAAAGUCAAGGGCACCUUAUCCUGGGCACUGCACCUCAAGCACAGCACCAUGCUGCUACUGUAAAACAUGACAGAUUAUUGCCAGUGCAUCCAUAUAACUUCAGUGAUAUUGCAUAAAUUGUGUGUUCUUUUUUUUUUUUUUUUAAAUACUGUCAUGAUUGUUAAAGGGGAACGUCUAUUAAUAAACUUCUGUCAAACAGGGA